rnacentral:rRNA from 1 species
CAGCAGCCGCGGGAAUACGUAGGCCCCGAGCGUUGUCCGGAUUUAUUGGGCGUAAAGCGAGCGCAGGCGGUUAGAUAAGUCUGAAGUUAAAGGCUGUGGCUUAACCAUAGUACGCUUUGGAAACUGUUUAACUUGAGUGCAGAAGGGGAGAGUGGAAUUCCAUGUGUAGCGGUGAAAUGCGUAGAUAUAUGGAGGAACACCGGUGGCGAAAGCGGCUCUCUGGCUUGUAACUGACGCUGAGGCUCGAAAGCGUGGGGCGCAAACAGGAUUAGAUACCCCAGUAGUCCCUGUCUCUUAUACA